ACUUCCUUUGGCGGACGUUAAAGAUGGCCUGACUAUUGGAAAAAAGAGUAGAGGGUUUCUUCUGAUGUCCUGACAGACGUCGCUGUGGCCGCGCAGUGAGCUGUUUAACACUCCUUGACUGGACAGAGUGAUGUAGUCUGCAGCCUGGAUUGAGAGAUAAAUUACUUAGCAGUUGAAUGCAGUAGGCGUCCCCAGCAAUGCUACCUGUCUGGAAGCCAGAGAUAUUACUGGCCAUUGUCCUCCUCUCCUGGGGCUUUGUCGUUUACGCAUGCAGACUCGCAUCU